UACGUAGGGGGCAAGCGUUGUCCGGAUUUAUUGGGCGUAAAGAGCGUGUAGGCGGUUUGGUAGGUCCGCUGUGAAAACUCGAGGCUCAACCUCGAGACGCCGAUGGAAACCAUCUGGCUAGAGUCCGGAAGAGGAGAGUGGAAUUCCUGGUGUAGCGGUGAAAUGCGCAGAUAUCAGGAAGAACACCCGUGGCUAAGGCGGCUCUCUAGUACGGUACUGACGCUGAGACGCGAAAGCGUGGGGAGCAAACAGG
rnacentral:rRNA from 1 species